UGUAUCUGAAACCUGAUGAGGAUGAGAACCUCCGGGGGCAAGAGGUUCGACCCGAGCGAAGCGAGAGAACGUUGCGUCAGCAACGGCCCGCAGUGGCAAGUCAUCCUCUGUCACCGGCAG
rnacentral:sRNA from 3 species